rnacentral:rRNA from 1 species
AAAUUGAAGAGUUUUAUCAUGGCUCAGAUUGAACGCUGGCGGCAGGCCUAACACAUGCAAGUCGAACGGUAACAGGAAGCAGCUUGCUGCUUUGCUGACGAGUGGCGGACGGGUGAGUAAUGUCUGGGAAACUGCCUGAUGGAGGGGGAUAACUACUGGAAACGGUGGCUAAUACCGCAUAACGUCGCAAGACCAAAGAGGGGGACCUUCGGGCCUCUUGCCAUCAGAUGUGCCCAGAUGGGAUUAGCUGGUUGGUGAGGUAACGGCUCACCAAGGCGACGAUCCCUAGCUGGUCUGAGAGGAUGACCAGCCACACUGGAACUGAGACACGGUCCAGACUCCUACGGGAGGCAGCAGUGGGGAAUAUUGCACAAUGGGCGCAAGCCUGAUGCAGCCAUGCCGCGUGUAUGAAGAAGGCCUUCGGGUUGUAAAGUACUUUCAGCGGGGAGGAAGGUGUUG